ACAAGAAACCAAAUCAUGUUGUAAACAAGAAGGACCAGGAUGGUAACAGGAAAAUGAGACCUAGCAUUUGACCGUUUUAUAAAGUAGAAGGUGUAAACCCGGCUGUUCUUGGCUAUUCUUCCAAAGAGAGAAGCCCCAGUAGGGUUCCCGGGGGUUUGCCUUACGAUUUUUCUAAAAUGACAAGAGAAAUAUUUGUAUUGGCUUUAUGAGUAGGUGGGUAGGUUGCCACCCACGUGUGUGCUCUGAGAGAAACGAGAGGGUGCCUCAGGGGAAUGCCAAAAUACCUCCCUGUGUUACUAUUCCUGGAAGUCCAUCAUCAUAGGUGGUCCUCAAGGACACUUUUAGCCCUCAAAGUCUUCCUUUAAAAGCAUCUACUCCAGAGAGAGAUGUGCCUUUGCUCUGGUUGUUCCUUUGCUUAGGUUGCUGUUUUCCACACACAUUCAAAGCCUAUUUGGAGUCAUUCAUGUCUAGAGCACUUCCUCAGGGCUUCUCUUCUGGCCUGUCUUCCUCUUUGGGAGGACUCAUACUGCUGGUAUGAGACUUUGAUCCAGCAGAUUUGGUCUUGUGUGGCUUCUUGGUUGGAUUCUGUGUGUGUGUUGUGUGUAUUUGUGUGUGCAUGCUCAUACACUUCAGAGAAGGCAAUGGCACCCCACUCCAGUACUCUUGCCUGGAAAAUCCCAUGGAUGGAGGAGCCUGGUAGGCUGCAGUCCAUGGGGUCCCGAAGAGUAGGACACAACUGAGUGACUUAGCAGCAGCAGCAGCUCAUACACUUCCUAAUCAGCCUGUUUGUCAAUUACAGGUACCCCCACUUUUCGAAAGCUCUUACGAACGACCUACAUUAGUACCUGUUUUCAUUAACCAAAAGAAAUCCAAAGGGGUUUUCACUUUUAUGAGAAAAGAUAAUUGCUUCUUCACUUUAUACCAUUUCUGCUUAGGAAAAGCUUUGUAGAAGCACUCUGUUUUUGGAUAGUGGGGGAACCUGUGUCUAUCUUAUUGCAUUACAAAUUAAAACUUAAAACUUAAAAACUUAAAACCCAAAACUUAAAACAACUAUUUAUUUACUCACAACUCUAUAAUACGGGCUAGAAUCAGUUGGUGGUUCUCCUGGUGAUUGGCUUGAUGUAGCUCACAAAGCUGUCAUUGUCUGGAGGAUCAACAAUGAUGGAAAAACCCAAGAGGGGUUCAUUCACGUGUCUGAUUCUCAGUUGAGCAGAUUAGAACAGCUAGGAACUGGCUGGCCCCUCUUUGCAUGUGGUGUGUUGUUCUCCAGGGCCUCUCUUCAUAACCUCCUCUCCAGCAGGUCAUCCUGGGCUUUCUAACAGCAUGGCAGCUGAGUUCCAGAAGGCAGCAUUUCCAGAAGUAGAGCCCUGCUGUGCAAGCACUUAUCUAGUCGCUUCAUGUUUGUUAAUAUCUCACAAGGGAGUCACACGACCAAACCCAGAUCAAUGAGAGAGAGGACUUCAAAAGGUGUUCACAUUUACCAGCAUACUCUAGAGUAUAUUGGUAGACACUCCAUAAAUACUUGUUGACUGACAAAUGAUGAAUGUCGUUAACUGCAAGAAAAGCUCUGUCGGAUGGGCCUUGCAGGGAGAGCUGAAGGUUGCUCCAUGAAGAAAGUAGAAGCCUGAAAUUCGGAAAGGUGAUUGAACACCAAAUACAGAUGAGUGGAUUUUAGUGAAUUUAACUAUUUCCUUCCCUAGUGAUUUCAAAACCAGAAAAAUUGAAGCAAGAAAUAUCAGAAGAAACCAAAAUAUGCUCAGCUCAGCACUGUGUUCAACCUCAAGGAGGAGAUGAAAGAAAAGAGGGCCUUUGAGGUCACUGGAGAAACAAGAAAUAAAUACAGGAAAACUCCAAUAUCACAAAGUCUAAUAAUGUUUGUUUCAUUUUAUUUUAUUUACUUUUGGCUGCAUUGGAUCUCUGUUGCCGUGCACAGGCUUUCUCUAGCCGUCUCGACCGAGGGCUCCUCUCUAGCUGCAGUACGUGGGCUUCCUACCACAGUGGCUUCUCUUGCUGUGGAGCACGGGCUUAGUAGUUGUGGCUCACGAGCCUAGUUGCCCCAUGGCACGUGGAAUCUUCCUUGGACCCUGCAUUGGCAAGCAUAUUCUUAACCACUGGACCACCGGGAAAUUCCCCUAAUGAUGUUUUUAGCAUAGUUCAUAUCACAUAAUAGACACUCAUGAAAAGUUGCAGGAAAAAUAGGGUAUGGUCAGGAAAUGAAAAAUAGGUUAGUCUAGGGUUCAGCAAACUACAACCCACAGGCCAAAUCCUGCCCUCUGUCAGUUUUUAUAAAUAAAGUUUAAUUUGAACAGAGCCAUAACCAUUGGUUCAGAGAAGGCAAUCGCAACCCACUCCAGUACUCUUGCCUGGAAAAUCCCAUGGACGGAGGAGCCUGGUAGGCUGCAGUCCAUGGGGUCGCUAAGAGUCGGACACGACUGAGCGACUUCACUUUCACUUUUCACUUUCAUGCACUGGAGAAGGAAAUGGCAACCCACUCUAGUGUUCUUGCCUGGAGAAUCUCAGGGACGGCGGAGCCUGGUGGGCUGCCAUCUGUGGGGUCUCACAGAGUCGAUCAUGACUGAAGCGACUUAGCAGCAGCAGCAGCAUACACAUUGGUUAUCUAUGGCCAUUUUUGUUCUAUGACAGCAGAAUUAAAUAGUUUCAAAAAGACGAAAGGACUUGCAAAGCCUAAGAUAGGUACAGCCUGGGCCUUUACAGAAAAAGUUUGCCAACCCCAAAACUCAAUAAAUGCUCCCCAGACUCUGUAAAAUUGGUACAACUUCCCUUGAUGGAGGAGAAGGUAGAUUAGUGCUCGGUUAGGUGGAAGAUGAAGUACUUUGUACUCAAAACUAUGAAUAGCUACAGCCUGAGAGAAAACUGUUAGGGGGGGACCCCAGCUAGGAAGGAUCUGUGCUGAUUUGCAACACUGUCAGGCCCUGGGCCCCUGUUUAGACUAGUCCUGGCAUUCUCCCCAUCUCGCAACCCUGUUUGUCCAUCUUCCUCCACGCUUUUAUCUUGAGGUUGGACAAGGUAUCCAGAUAUUGAAGUUGGACAUCAGAUACACUUUCCAUUUGGAUAUAUAUCUGAGUCCUUAGGAGGAAGAGAAGCAUCUAACUAUAUAGAGAAAGGGCAUGGUACCUUCAAUCUCAUUCCUUCAGCUCCAUGGGUCUCAAAAGAUCAUUUUAGUCAUUCCCUUGUGUCCAGACUGGACUAGUUUUAAGUCUUCUCCUAGAUCUAAUAAACACACACACAUGCCUCACUGUACCCAUCUCCCACAUGCUUAAAAAGAGCACAAUCUCUCCCCAGGGCCAACUGAUCCAAAGAGAGUAGGCUCAGUGCUAAGGGCCUGUGAUAUUUUAAGGACUGACACAAAUAUUUUAACUUCUUUUAAUACUAGAAGGAAAAAAGAAUGUAAUAAUAGUGGAUAUAUAGUAAUGAUAUAUAUAUAGAGAGAGAGAGAGUAAUGAUAUAUAUACAAUACUUCGGCCACCUGAUGAGAAGAACUGACUCAUUGGAAAAGACCCUGAUGCUGGGAAAGGUUGAAGGUAGGAGGAGAAGGGGACAACAGAGAAUGAGAUAGUUGGAUGGCAUUACUGACUCGAUGGACAUGAGUUUGAGCAAACUCUGGGAGAUAGUGAAGGACAGGGAAGCCUGGUGUACUGCAAUCUAUGGGGUCACAAAGAGUCGGACACAACUGAGCGACUGAACAACAGCAUAUAGGAAUGAAGCCG
ensembl:lncRNA